GUACAUACGGAUAGCUCAGAUUUAUCUUCCAAGUGACAAUGCUUAUCCUGUUCACCGCAGAACUUGAGAAAGCUUUUGCUGAGCUUCAAAGUCUUACAAGGAAACCUGCUAUCAUAUACUGAGUUCAAGUUACCACUCUGUUAUGGUGGGACGUUGAGAAAAAUACCCAAAUUUCAGAUUGUGGUAUUUUGACACAAAAAGGAAAUGAACACAAUGUGUACUGUACUCAGCAACUCUGCACACUUAGUACAGGGAUCUCUUUUUUUUUCCUGUGGAAAAAGGAGUCUUAAAGGCUUUCAAAGGAGAACACUUUCAAAGGUAACCACUUUUUUAUCAUGUCCCAUAUUUUUGGACCUGAAUUUCAGCACUGGAGAUUUCAGGAACAGCUUGCUUUUGCUGAGAGUGGAAAUGCCUCUGCUGAAAUGAUCUUGUGGAAAUGGGAAGAUACAAGAAAACAUUCAAGCAGCCUGUAGCAGUCUGCACACUGCUGCAAACAGAAGGAAAGUGCACAAAGCGAAACAUGACUUGGAGGAGAAACACUUCUCGCAUGCUGUUAUUGAUUACCCCCUGUAAUACAAUGUGUCCUCAGCUGGUAACUGUGCGGCUUUUUCCACAGUUCACCAAAAACCGCCCUUCUGACUUUCCUCCUAAAAGCAUGACCUGCCUACCUUUCUGUGACUGUCAGUGUUGUUGGCUCCUCAGGCCAUUUUUCCAGGGCCCUUUUUAUUUUUCCCAGUAAUUUCCCCAUCUGCCACUUCCAAAGGUAAAACUGGUGUUGCCAGUUAUGCACAACAUUAACUGUGAAAAGUGAAAAAAGGGAGAAGCUGGAGAUAUGCCUGAGCAGUAUUUCUAUAUUACUUUCAAAUGAAAUGCAUUUUAAUGCUUUGGAAACAGUAAACAAGGUGGCUCUUGGCCAGAGGAGUAAGGUAUCUCCAAGUUGGAUAUUACCAGACUUUGGCUGCUGGAUGCUAGCUGUUUACCUGCCUGGAAAAGGUGGUAAAACCACUGCACAGGAAGGUUGCAUGUGAAGUUUCCUACAUCUGCUGGUGGUUUUUGUGGGACCUCUGGACUGGCAGGAGGGGAAAAAUGUUUUUCUAAUGAAUCUUGAGUCCUACCACAAUGUUUGGUCCUCCUCCAGCCUCUAACCAAGAUAGAAAGAUUCCUACUUGUUUGUAACAUGCACAGGGGAAAAUGCAAGAGUUAUUUCCUGGGAGAUCAUAAAAAGCUGUGCAAAUAAGAAAACAGGUUUGUCUCUUAUUUAUUUCUAACCUGAACUGUAAGACAACUUGAAUAUCCUUUUCAUGAUAGAAAUGCCAUAAGAAGUAGACAGAAAUAAUUGCCUAAGAUUUCUGUGGUUAAUGGUGGAUUAGCAAGAGGCACUCAGAGCUGAACUAGUUGUGACCUUUUCUCUAGGAUGGCAGAGCUGGCAUGAUAUCAAAACCCAUUAUCCCCACUGGUGAAGCAGAGAGAGAUACCAAAGCAGACAGACGCUCCCUGUAAUGUCUUGUCUAAGCUUCUGUAUUGAUCUUUUGCAAAAUCCUCUCCUGUCCUCUACGUCUAGCCAGCAUGAGGUGAAGUUGUACUGAGCAAUCCAAGGCACUCAAAUUACAAGAAGAGACAUUGUGAUACAAAAGCCACUUUGGGCUUUUUACUCUAGCUAUUUUUAUGAUAAAAAUUCCAUAUUUUAGGCUCUGUAAUCCAGUAGGUAGAUCACAGACACAGAGACUGAAGAGCUAUAAAUUCCUGUAAAUGCAGGCAAAUUUUCAAGAGGAGAGUCUGAACCAAGAUGCAUGUGCUUCUGCUCAUCUUGAGAUUCCUAUAGCUAGAUUCAGAUUUUCUGUUUCUUUCUUUAAAUUAGUUUUCCAUUGAUCUCUCCCAGUUAGGAGUCUUCAGCAGUUCCAAAAAUCUAGCGUGUGGUGAAAUCCUGUAGUUAAAGGAAACUUUGGAACUUUUCCAAGAUCUCAUCUGAUGCAGCUAUUUCUGAGCAUUAGGGAAUGAAGCACUAAAAAUGAGAUGCCUGCAUUUCCUGGUUAGCAAAAUAUAUUACAAUUUGUGAAAAGCAGAAUCUGAGUGAUUAGUAAAAAAAGAUUUCCGGUAUCAGUGAGCCCCUCGAAAACUCAAAAUAAUGUUUCCUAAAAUUUGUUUUAUAGGUCUUUAUGUUCAUUUACAUUUCAGUUACCUCUGCUGAAAAAAAAAA